ACCUUGUGCCUGGCUCUGGCCCAAGUGAGGGGUCCACCUGGACCUCAGGGCCAGUCCGGCCAACCAGGCCCCUCUGGCACCCCUGGCUCAGAUGGCAUUGAUGGAGAAAAAGGACCGCCUGGGGGCCCUGGUUCACCAGGACUUAAGGGGGAGCCUGGAGAGUCAGGUCCAAACGGAGCAGCAGGAGAGAAUGGCAUUGAUGGUUUGAUUGGAGCAAAGGGUGAUCGAGGUCCUAUUGGGAGCGCUGGCCCCAAGGCAAGUGUCCAAACCUGCAACUGAAAAGAUAAUUAGAACAAGUCCGCCGUUAUAAUACUGUUCUGUGGGAAACCUGUUUUACUACAAAAAGGGGCCAUGUUCCUAUUAUCUUCUCAGAGUGAUGUUGAGCAUGACAAUGAUCCCCUGUU
rnacentral:lncRNA from 1 species